rfam:Neurospora tetrasperma FGSC 2509 unplaced genomic scaffold NETTE2scaffold_2, whole genome shotgun sequence.
GGCAAGAUGGCCGAGCGGUCUAAGGCGCUGUGUUCAGGUUCUUCUGAGUAUCGCAGUCCGAAAGGGCGUGGGUUCGAAUCCCACUCUUGUCA